CUCUCUCUUCUCACAAAACGUGAAACCCUCUCUUCUCUAUCACUGAUUUACUCUCUCCUCUGUCCUCUGUCCUCCGUCCUAGUCUUCUGGCAAACUCCUCUGUGAAAUUGAAAUGGGUUUGUUUGUAAUUGCGAGUUUCUCUUAGAUUUAGGGUUCUUAGGUUCCAUUCUCUUAGAUUGUUCAUCUUCCUCUUCAGCGACAUGGGAGAUAGAGUGCCCCAGAUCCACUUUCUCUAUCUCCUCCUUACCUUCAAACUAGGGUCAAUUGAAGAGAUGUUGAAGACGAAGGUGUCCGAGAUGGCGGAGGCGAACGUGUUGUGCUACGCCGCCAACAUGCUCGCCAGCAAGCACUGAAGGGUUUCACUUUCCGCUUCCCAGAUGCCCAAGUGUGAUAUCUGCCAGGGUGGUGAUUGCGCUGAGAGCUUCAAGGAGUUCAGUGCCAAUAACAAAUAACAUUAGGGACAACUUCAGAGUUAUGCUUGAGAUGAGUGUGGUUCUUAUGUUUGGUGGGCAAAUGAAUAUUGUCAAGGUGGGAAGAAUGGCAAGCUGGGUUAGACGGGCAUGGCAGUCCUCUGAAGAUCAGCUCUCGUCUGUCACCAGUUUGGAUGCUGUGGUCUUCGAUCAUUGCACAUUUUCAUCUUUAGUUUGACGGUGUUUGGGUUCACUGGGAUUAUUGGGGCUUUUGUUCUUCUGCCAAUAAAUUUUCUGGGGACCCAGCUGGAGGUGGAUUUUUCGGAUUUGCCUAACAAGUCUUUGGACUCGUUUAGUAUUUCAAAUAUGGAUGAUGGCUCAAACUGGUACUUUCAAAAUCAACUUCUCCUUAUUAUCUACAGAUUGCAAAGAAACUUAAUGGUGAGCAAAAAUGCUAGCUUUGGUUUCGACUUGGCUACAGACAUGACGGUUGAUGCUUUUGCAGCAUCAUACUUCAACACAUUUGGUAAAGCGCUGUAAUACUCUUAAUCAAUCUUAUUCUUUAUUAGUGUUCUUUUAAUGCUUAUAAUAGUGUAAACCUAUUGAUGCUUACUACUUUUUUGGAUAAGUCAGUGCUUCACAAUAACACAAUAUUCUAUGUUAUUUCUAUUAUGUUUUGUUUGAUAAUACAACUAGUUUAGAUUUUCACUCACUAAGAUAUAGUAAUUGUGUAAUAAACCAAAACUUUAUCAGAUAACAGCAAAUCUUUUCUCUAUGUUAUACUUAAUUGGACUUAAUUGUUGAAGCAGGCUCAUACUAGGCCUAUUUGAUUAAAAUGGUCAUAAUCGAAUUGAACUUAUUUGUAUUUGGAACUUUUGUCUUUUAUUCUCUCUCUAGUUUUUUAUGUAACUUUCAUGUGUUAAGUGGCUAACAAUGGUAUCUUGUGAUGUAGUUGAGCAACACAAUGGAUCCAAAGGAUCUUGUUAAACUCAUUGUUAACUUUCAUGUUAAGUGGCUAACAAUGGUAUCUUCUAAUUCAUCUAAUGUUGUUUUCUUGAUAGAAAGGUUGCUAAAUGAUAGAUUAAAUUUGUAUAUCAAUUCCUUCAUUUUCCAUGUCCCUUUUCCUAUGCAUGUUAUCUUUCCAAUAUAUUUUCUAACUUGGUGUUUAUGAGUAUCCCUGCUUCAGCUGGGACUUGCAAUGCUAUUCUGGUUAUAAACCAUCUGAGUUGCAAGAUUGUGUCCUUGCCCUUCAUGACUUGCGGCUGAAUAAAUAAGGAAGCAAUUUGCGAGCAGUUACACACACACACACAAGCAAAGGUAAUAUAGUUUUAUGUUCAGGUAAUUUGCAUCUUGAAACUAUCCGAUGCAAAUUUGUUGAUAUUAUGAGUUCAACUUCCAAAAGGGCUUAUAUAUUGUAAAUGGCUGGAAAUUACAGUACCUAUGUAAGUUGUCUGUGCAUUUCUAGAAAUACACUACGGGUCCAUAUUGAAAUUAACUUGAGAGUUUUAGGAAAUUUCAUGCUGCUUUUCACUAAUAUUUAUCUGCUCUUGAUCAUUUGGCAUUUUUUGGACAGUUUAUAAGUGCGUAGCAACAUUACCUUCACACACUGAGAUUCCUGUACUUCAGUUUAAGCAUCAUAUUGAUUUCUCAGCAAUCAAAAUUGCUUCUUUGUUUAAUAAAGAAAUUCUUUGUUUCUGAGUUUGAAAAAGUCAUCCAGUGAAUGUAAUUAUAAUUUGGUUUCUUUUGUUGUCUUUAUAGCUGUUAGUGGCUUGUAAAGCUCAUGUUGUGGAGACUCUAGUUUUGAUUGGUUGUUAGGUUCCUCAUCAGCAAGGUCAUCAAAUCCCUUAUUUUGGACAUUGUUGGCGAACUAAGGAAGCGUAGAGACAAAGAAAGCAUAGAGAUGAAGAAGGGAUUGAAAGGUUUUCAACAGUCUUCAAUUAUGACAGUGAGGACUGGGAAGGAAGACAUUAGAACCAUAACCAAGGAUGUCCACCCUGCGGCAAUGAUCCAAAGCUCGAGAAGCAACGUAAAUGAGUUUUGGAGUGGGAUCUUAGAGCUCGAGAAGCAAGUACCAUGGAUUACCUCCUUUCAGCAUAUGAGCUACCAAGUUUGAUACAUGGGUCUAGCUAGCAGCUAGGAAUAAUGCUUUUGAUUCAUGUGUAGGUAGCAGCUAGGAAUGCUUUCUUGUUUGGUGUAUUAUCUAAUAACUUGAAUGUUUGGAAGUUUGAAAAAUGCCACUUAUAUGAUAUGGAUUAGUGUGGUUUUAUGUGGUAAUA